UACGUAGGGUGCAAGCGUUGUCCGGAAUUAUUGGGCGUAAAGAGCUCGUAGGCGGUUUGUUGCGUCGGCUGUGAAAUCCCGAGGCUCAACCUCGGGUCUGCAGUCGAUACGAGCAAACUAGAGUGUUGCAGGGGAGACUGGAAUUCCUGGUGUAGCGGUGAAAUGCGCAGAUAUCAGGAGGAACACCGGUGGCGAAGGCGGGUCUCUGGGCAGUAACUGACGCUGGAGACGCGAAAGCGUGGGGAGCAAACAGG
rnacentral:rRNA from 1 species